rnacentral:rRNA from 1 species
GUGCCAGCAGCCGCGGUAAUACGUAGGGGGCAAGCGUUGUCCGGAUUUAUUGGGGGUAAAGAGCUCGUAGGCGGCUUGUUGCGUCGACUGUGAAAACCCGCGGCUCAACCGUGUGGCUUGCAGUCGAUACGGGCAGGCUAGAAUUCGGUAGGGGAGACUGGAAUUCCUGGUGUAGCGGUGAAAUGCGCAGAUAUCAGGAGGAACACCGGUGGCGAAGGCGGGUCUCUGGGCCGAUAUUGACGUUGAGGAGCGAAAGCGUGGGGAGCGAACAGGAUUAGAUACCCUAGUAGUCC